UACAGAGGUCUCAAGCGUUGUUCGGAUUCAUUGGGCGUAAAGGGUGUGUAGGUGGCGCCGUAAGUCGGGUGUGAAAUUUCGGAGCUUAACUCCGAAACUGCAUUCGAUACUGCGGUGCUUGAGGACUGGAGAGGAGACUGGAAUUCAUGGUGUAGCAGUGAAAUGCGUAGAGAUCAUGAGGAAGACCAGUGGCGAAGGCGGGUCUCUGGGCCGAUACUGACGCUGAGGAGCGAAAGCGUGGGGAGCAAACAGG
rnacentral:rRNA from 1 species